AAAUUGAAGAGUUUGAUCAUGGCUCAGAUUGAACGCUGGCGGCAGGCCUAACACAUGCAAGUCGAGCGGAAACGAGUUAUCUGAACCUUCGGGGAACGAUAACGGCGUCGAGCGGCGGACGGGUGAGUAAUGCCUAGGAAAUUGCCCUGAUGUGGGGGAUAACCAUUGGAAACGAUGGCUAAUACCGCAUAACGCCUACGGGCCAAAGAGGGGGACCUUCGGGCCUCUCGCGUCAGGAUAUGCCUAGGUGGGAUUAGCUAGUUGGUGAGGUAAUGGCUCACCAAGGCGACGAUCCCUAGCUGGUCUGAGAGGAUGAUCAGCCACACUGGAACUGAGACACGGUCCAGACUCCUACGGGAGGCAGCAGUGGGGAAUAUUGCACAAUGGGCGCAAGCCUGAUGCAGCCAUGCCGCGUGUGUGAAGAAGGCCUUCGGGUUGUAAAGCACUUUCAGUCGUGAGGAAGGUAGUGUAGUUAAUAGCUGCAUUAUUUGACGUUAGCGACAGAAGAAGCACCGGCUAACUCCGUGCCAGCAGCCGCGGUAAUACGGAGGGUGCGAGCGUUAAUCGGAAUUACUGGGCGUAAAGCGCAUGCAGGUGGUUUGUUAAGUCAGAUGUGAAAGCCCGGGGCUCAACCUCGGAAUAGCAUUUGAAACUGGCAGACUAGAGUACUGUAGAGGGGGUAGAAUUUCAGGUGUAGCGGUGAAAUGCGUAGAGAUCUGAAGGAAUACCGGUGGCGAAGGCGGCCCCCUGGACAGAUACUGACACUCAGAUGCGAAAGCGUGGGGAGCAAACAGGAUUAGAUACCCUGGUAGUCCACGCCGUAAACGAUGUCUACUUGGAGGUUGUGGCCUUGAGCCGUGGCUUUCGGAGCUAACGCGUUAAGUAGACCGCCUGGGGAGUACGGUCGCAAGAUUAAAACUCAAAUGAAUUGACGGGGGCCCGCACAAGCGGUGGAGCAUGUGGUUUAAUUCGAUGCAACGCGAAGAACCUUACCUACUCUUGACAUCCAGAGAACUUUCCAGAGAUGGAUUGGUGCCUUCGGGAACUCUGAGACAGGUGCUGCAUGGCUGUCGUCAGCUCGUGUUGUGAAAUGUUGGGUUAAGUCCCGCAACGAGCGCAACCCUUAUCCUUGUUUGCCAGCGAGUAAUGUCGGGAACUCCAGGGAGACUGCCGGUGAUAAACCGGAGGAAGGUGGGGACGACGUCAAGUCAUCAUGGCCCUUACGAGUAGGGCUACACACGUGCUACAAUGGCGCAUACAGAGGGCAGCAAGCUAGCGAUAGUGAGCGAAUCCCAAAAAGUGCGUCGUAGUCCGGAUUGGAGUCUGCAACUCGACUCCAUGAAGUCGGAAUCGCUAGUAAUCGUGGAUCAGAAUGCCACGGUGAAUACGUUCCCGGGCCUUGUACACACCGCCCGUCACACCAUGGGAGUGGGCUGCAAAAGAAGUAGGUAGUUUAACCUUCGGGAGGACGCUUACCACUUUGUGGUUCAUGACUGGGGUGAAGUCGUAACAAGGUAGCGCUAGGGGAACCUGGCGCUGGAUCACCUCCUUAAACGAUGAU
rnacentral:rRNA from 1 species